CCAGUGAGUGAGGGCAUUGUAGGCCCCGGGUGCAGGAGGUGACGCUGGCCCUGCUCCCUUACCACGGCCCCUGGUUAGCUCCUGUUCUGUCUUUAGUCUCCUCUCUGUGCCUGCCCCCACCCCACUUCUCGUCCCAUUCACUUAUCCCCCCCGGCGCAUUUCAGAUGUUGCAAUGAUUUUGCUGAUUAAUUCAUUCCAGGAGCAGGUGCUGGCCCCUACCGGACAUCAGCCCUCAAGUGCCCUGGGGGUUUCCGUGGCGUGUGGAAGUUAGGUGCCCCUGUCCUCAAUGGGGGUAGGAAGGUUCUACUUUUAACUUGUUUCUCUCUGUGUCUCAUCUCGGGCCUCCCAAGUCCUGGAGCCGCUUUUUCUCUCCUACUAAAUGUUUAAUUCUGAUACCCUUCAAAACUAGCACAUGGCCUUUGUCCUCAUAUUCCCUCCGCUUCUCUGGGUGUCUAAAUCCCUGCCUCUCUUUUAUAAGGACACUGCUUAUAAAAGGACCCAGGAUGACCUCAUCUCAAGAUCCUAAACUUAAUCCCAUCUUUCCAAACAAACUCACAUUCCCAGGUUCCAAGGAUGCCGGCCUGCACGUUAUCUCUGGGGUCA
rnacentral:lncRNA from 1 species